GACAGAGGUUGCAAACGUUGUUCGGAAUUACUGGGCAUAAAGCGCACGUAGGCGGUUCGUUAAGUCAUGUGUGAAAUCCCCCGGCUCAACCGGGGAAUUGCGCCUGAUACUGGCGGGCUAGAGAUCGAUAGGGGUGAGCGGAACUCCAGGUGGAGCGGUGAAAUGCGUAGAUAUCUGGAGGAACACCGGUGGCGAAAGCGGCUCUCUGGAACGGUACUGACGCUGAGACGCGAAAGCGUGGGGAGCGAACAGG
rnacentral:rRNA from 1 species